CCUACGGGUGGCAGCAGUGAGGAAUAUUGCUCAAUGGACGAGAGUCUGAACCAGCCAAGUAGCGUGAAGGAUGACUGCCCUAUGGGUUGUAAACUUCUUUUAUAAAGGAAUAAACGAAGCACUUUUUCCUUUUUGCAUUUACCUUAUUAAUUAGGAUCCGCUAACACCGUUCCAGCAGCCGCCGUAAGACGGAGGAUGCGGGCGUUAUCCGGAUUUAUUUGGUUUAAAGGGAGCGUAGAUGGGUUGUUAAGUUAGUUGUGAAAGGUUGGGGCUCAACCGUAAAAUUGCAAUUGAUACUGGCAGUCUUGAGUACAGUUGAGGUAGGCGGAAUUCGUGGUGUAGCGGUGAAAUGCUUAGAUAUCACGAAGAACCCCGAUUGCGAAGGCAGCUUACUAAACUGUGACUGACAUUGAUGCUCGAAAGUGUGGUUAUCAAACAGGAUUAGAUACCCGGGUAGUC
rnacentral:rRNA from 1 species